rnacentral:tRNA from 1 species
GGAGGGCUGUCCGAAAUGGCAAAGGAGCCGGUCUUGAAAACCGGUUAAGGGUUGAUGACCUGUUAGAGUUCAAAUCUCUAGCCCUCCGCCA